UUAUUCUUCAAGUAGUCAGCAGAAUUUGAUAAUUGGAGGAGAUUUAAAUUGUGUAUUAGAUCAAUACUUGGAUAAAUCUUCACGUCAAAGUAAAAGUACCUCAAAAUCAAAAUCGAGUGAACGUUUAAACACGUAUAUAAAUAAUACAAACAU